rnacentral:tRNA from 1 species
GGGGCUGUAGUUCAGUUGGUAGAAUGCUUGCAUGGCAUGCAAGAGGUCGAGAGUUCGAGUCUCUUCAGCUCCACCA